ensembl:Mt_tRNA
GUUAAUGUAGCUUAAAACAAAAGCAAGGUACUGAAAAUACCUAGACGAGUAUAUCCAACUCCAUAAACAAC